rnacentral:ncRNA from 1 species
UAAAGUUUUUUAGGUGUGGUUACUGAUCUGAGAUCGGAAAUUGGUAAUCAGAAAGUUAUGUGUUUAAAAUAUAGAAAACUUGGCUCUGAUUUUGGGUAUGGCGUGCACUAAAAGAUACACAUGGUUUUUUUUGAUAGAGGUGAGGUGGAAGAUAGUUAUAUUGAGAAGUGGCGAAAAGCUGUGUUGAUAUGGUCUUCUGGGAUGUUAUAGUGAACAUGAUGUCCUGAAAUGCCCACUAACACCAGUGUUGAAGAUUAAGUGAAGAGCGAAGGCUUGUAUUAGUUUAGUGAAUAAAAUUUGGUUAAUUUGGUGCCAGCAUCCGCGGUUAAACCAAGAAAUUUAGUCAUUCUUUUAUGGUAAAAAGACAGUUAGGCAAGAGCUAAGGACCAUUAGAUCUUUAGUAUAGGGGUAAAAUCUAUAUACUAAAAGUUAUACCGGGCGUGGUUUAUUUAGGGUGCUGAAUCUGUGAUAGCUUUAAGGGAAACUGGGAUUGGAUACCCCAUUAUUUCUAGUUGUAAAUUUAGUUUAAGCUUACCAGAGUACUACGAAUUAAAAGUUUAAAACUCAAAGGGCUUGGCGGUGUUUUAGACCUCUUAGGGGAACCUGUCUCGUAAUCGACAAUCCACGUUAGACCUAACCUUUUGUGGCAUGACAGCCUGUAUACCGUCGUCGUCAGGUAACUUCUUAAAAUAUAGUAGUUAGCCCGAGAACUUUAUUAGUUAAAACGUCAGAUCAAGGUGCAGCUAAUAAAAGGGUGAGGAUGGGUUACAAUUAUAGAUUUAUAAGUACGGAUAAAGAUUUGAAAUGGAGUGUUUGGAAGGAGGACUUAAAAGUAAUUUUGAUUAUAUAAGCAGAAUGAAUAUGGCUCUGAAACGUGCACACAUCGCCCGUCGCUCUCGUUGAAAAAUGAGAUAAGUCGUAACAUAGUAGGGGUAAUGGAAAUUGUUCCUAGGCUG